AAAAAUAACACAACCUGAACUAACAUAAAAGAAUAGCAUAGGUAUAUACAGUAUAUAUUAUGCUAUUCUUUUAGGUUAAUAUUAAAGACUUGAACACCCCAAUGUGACUUGUCUGGUCGAACAUUUGCCCGAGUGAGCUGUGAGGGGAAGGGUGUGACAGACUGACUGUUAUGUGGUGAUUAAAUUUUUUGGUAUUUUUAUACUAAGUAAUUUAUACACAAGCUUAUGUCGCUACUGUCCUCUGUGGAUAUCAAGCUUCCGUAGUCUUCCUUCACCAACACAAGAGAGGACAGGUGCUGCCACGGGUGGCCGCAGGAUUUUUCCAGGGGGAUGCAAGAAAGCAAGACAAGACCUGACAUAUCAGUUUAAUCAAAACAGAUGCAGUGGUUCAUUAUCCAAGAUGGUGGACAAGACCAUCCUGAUGAUUAUAAUGGGGAGAACUAUGUGGGGCUGGAUAUUGGACAAAUGGCAUACCCUGGUAAAAGCAAAUAGCAAAGACAACAGAGAGCAGCAGUGACCCUUGUACUGCUGUCACAAUCACCGCUCAGCGUCCUGAAGAGAAUGUGGUGCUGGGAGACCCACCAAGAACCUUCUUGCAUGCUUCAGUAGGGUCUUCAGUGGUACUGGCCUUGAAUAUAAAAUAUUGUGUGACUGUCUGAGGAGAAUGGCUGUUUGGCUCAGGUGGACUGCUGGCUGGCUCUGGUGAAUGGUUGACUAGCUGAGGCGAACGUCUGGCAGGUCAAGAACCCCACCAAACAGAUACAUUGUGAUGGAGGUAUCAUCACGCUUUCACAAUCUCAAGUAUUUCCCAAUUCAACGUCUAUAAUGGACUCCACUUAAGGCAAAACAGACUUCCAUUCAACAUUUGGUGUGCAGUGUCCAGAUUGUCAACAUUCCUUGACUCAAAUUACUUCUCACCAACACCAAUACAGUACUGCUACACUAUACUGUUGUAGUGGACGUCUCCCCUACAAACUGCGUAGCUGCAUCCCACCUGCGACGCCUGCCUGGCGGUCCUCGCUCCCGCCAGCGAGCAU
rnacentral:lncRNA from 1 species